CUGGAAAACCUGUCUUACCAUGAGAGAUAGAAGUAAAUCAGGAUUAAUUCCAAUGAAAUUACACUAGUAAAGAGUCCCCAGAGGAAUAAGAUGACAUAUGGAAAGUGUUCUUUUAAGGUAAUCGUAUAAAGAAAACUAAACAGACAGAAAUACAUUAGUUGUUGACUGCAAGGUCAAAAGUCCCCAGACAUGUUAUGGUGAAAGCCAGCAUGAG